CUUUGUCUCCUACUUGGAGGAUGGAGGAACCUUUGGUCCCAUCCCUCUUGUCGAUCGUGAUCCUCUAGCUUUUCUUUUACAAUCCCAGGAGCUGCGUGAGGUCUUGAGUUCCCAUGCUGCGUGGACCCGCUUUCCUUCCUGCUCUGUCUGUAGCUGAGCUCUUUGAUCCUUUUUGAAGGCUAUUUGACUGUUCCUGAAGAAAAUAGUUUGCGUCCAAAGGGCAAGGUUAAAUUCAGCCCUCUCAGACCAUGUAGGGACAAGACCUAAUUGAAUCUGAAAUUGUUGGGAAGUAAAAGGCGACCAGCCAAGUCUGGUUUUUGUUGUUGUUGUUGUUUGUUUGUUUGUUUUUUGUUUUUUUUUUAAAUCGUUAAAUCCUGGGAAAAAAGCUUGCAACCUCCCAAAUAAGAGAAAUGACGUCUAGUGACGUCAUCCAACUGCCAUGAAACCAUCCCCUUGUUCAGUUUUCAUGUACAUAGUUGCAAUUUUUUUUUGCAUAGAACAAAAUUCCAUUUGCAUGUUUAAUAGCAUUUAAAAAUUCUAAGAUUUGGGUUUUGUUUCUUAAUAGAAUACAAGUAGCAAGAGAAAAUUAGUAUAAAUAAACGGGCACAGGCCCUUAUAGAUCUCAUCAAGUUAGAAGCUUCCUGGAAUCCAUUCAUCUCCAAUUGACCACUGUUCUAGGCUGUUUUAUGCAGAAAAAUAAUAGGAUUCUGAUUACAAAGAAGGCUUCGUUUAUGGUAGCGUUUUUCAAAAGCAAAAUUUGAUUUGCAGUCUUUAAAUUUUCUUGUAUAAAAAUAAAAAAAGCUCAAAAUGUAAAAGUACUGUGGGCUCAAUCCCACAGCAGUCUUUAGAGGAAAAGAUGGCAAUGAAGUUGUUAGGGUUUUGAUUUUAAAUGUCCCUCAGAGACCUGUACGCUAGUGUUGACUGCCAGCCUCUGAGCGGUAGUGGGGAACGCUGCAUUGGAAGAGCUGGGGUCUGGUUGGAGGCAGUUCCACAACUGAGGGAUGGGAGGUAUUGGAAUUGUCUCAUUCUUUCUCUUUUGCGAGAUGCAUCAUGCCACCACAAGCACAAGGCAACUGUGAACUGAAGCUAAAGAAACCUUCUCAACCUUCAAAGAUUUCCUCAGUGUUUGGUCGAAGCGAUGAAAGCUGACUGACACAGGAAUCAUGUCACCAAUAGAGAACCACAUUGCCAAAGGAGAUUACAAUUAAGAGAUUGCCCUGAGUCUGAAAAGAGACUUCAGACUGUAUUGAGACUGUGAAAGACUAUGGAGACCUUUGAAGUUGAACUAAUGCUUUUUGCAUUAUAAUAUAGAGUAGAAUGUUGUGGUUUCAAUGGAAGUGGCCCUUAUAGGUGCGUAUAUUUGAAUGCUUGGUUCCCAGUUAGUGGAACUGUUUGGGAAGGAUUAGGGGGUGUAGCCUUAUUGUAGGAGAUGUAGCUCACUGGGGGUGAGCUUUGAGGUUUCAAAAGACCACACAGUUCCCAGUUAGUUUUUUGUCUCAUGCUUGUGAGCAGAUGUAAGCUGCCAUGCCCUACUACCUGCUGCCAUGCCCCUGUCAUGAUGGUCAUGGACUCUAAUCCUCUGGAACCAUGAGCCCCCAAAUUAAAUGCUUUCUAUUAUAAAUUGCCUUGGUCAUGGUGUUUUGUUGCAGCAAUAGAAAAGUAAUUAAGAUGAUGAGAACAAAUAUAGCAAAGUUAAAAUGUUUAGGUUCAUCUUCACAGGAAAGGUAAACAUACACAUGUUGCAAUAUUGUAUAGGUUUCACUUGUCAAUCAUUAGAAAUUUUGCUGAUGGUUACGUAAGAGUCAAUAGUCCAAAUCAAUGGCUGAGAAAAUAAGACUGUUAGAAUUGUUAGAGGAUGUCAAAAUCUUUUAAUUCAGUAUUUUCCCAAAUGAGAUGUGCUUUCCACGGAUGCUGUAGGAGAUGAACAUUAGUGGCAUCCAGAGAGACAUUCUUAAUUUUAAUAAUUAUUUUAAUUCAUAUUAGAAAAAUGUAACUUGCACAUAGAAUAUGAGUUUCUUUGGGUGUUUUUACUUAGAAUGAAUUCAAAUGAAGGACACUCAGAUGUCUAGACAUAUUAUCUUUAACUGUCCCUAGCCUGUAUUUGACACAUGAAGAAUAUUCUUGAAGAAACUGAAACUUAAGAUUACAUGUUACAUGAAUUCUAUAUGAAAUCUAGAGAAGACAAAAAUAUGGGAAAGAGAGAAGAUUAAUGGCUGCCCAGGCUGGGGUAAGGGAAACAGAUUCACUGGAUUCUACACUAAAUUUUGUGAAUUAUAAAUAAAGUCUAUGUCUAAAACUGAA